rnacentral:lncRNA from 1 species
GGAGGCAGGACCGGCGCUGGCCGUGCUGUGCCGUGCCGUGCCGUGCCGUGCCAUGGCGGUGCCGGGGCGCCGGAGGGGGCGGCGCGGCCGUGCCGUGUGUGUAGCAGUGCGUGCCGUGUCGUCGUAGACCCAGUCGAUGUCUCAUGUAGCGCAGAGGUGCCCUGUAGCUCAGUGCCUAGGAGGUGACGUAGCGCCUCGAAUAAACGCAACGCGUGGAGUUUUACCCCGCCGGAGUCGUGUGCUCCCUGGGCUUCCCGAAUUGCUGCGGCCUGCUGGGGCAAUGCCCCCCGAAGGGCGCCCCAGGGCAGAGCACCGUGCUCUGCGGAGUGGCCCAGGCACGGCCGGAACGGCUCAGCGGAGCAAUGCAAGCGCCAGCGCCGGGUGCUCCGUUUGCAGAGGGAGGGCUGGGCAGGGGGUGCGCUGCCUGAUCGCAGCCUUGCUCCUGCCCGGCCUCUCCCGCAGGCAAGGAGAAAAGGCAGCCAGCGUGAUCCCUGGACGGGCAGCAAGGAUCGCGAGACGGGGAGCCAAAUUACUGCAGAGCGUGGCAUUAGCUAGAGCGCUGCUGGAGCCGGCUGCUUCGUCUGCCGUGAGCGUCACGCGGGAAAAGUUGGAAAUGGUUCAGACAAGAAAGUCUGAGGCCUGAAACACCUCCUGCAUGUUAAUGGAGCGAACCUCUCGAGGACCAGAAUCCUGCCCAAACGACGGGAAGAGAGAGGCUAGAGCGAUAGCCAAGGACAGGUCAGGAUGGAUGGAGAAAUCUUCAGUCAAAAGGCAAAAUAAAUCACGAUGGCCUUGAACGCGCUGGAAGACU